AUUGGACGCUGGCGGCAUGCUUUACACAUGCAGGUCGAACGGCAGCACGGACUUCGGUCUGGUGGCGAGUGGCGAACGGGUGAGUAAUACAUCGGAACGUACCCAGUAAUGGGGGAUAACUAGUCGAAAGAUUAGCUAAUACCGCAUACGCCCUACGGGGGAAAGAGGGGGAUCGCAAGACCUCUUGUUAUUGGAGCGGCCGAUGGCUGAUUAGCUAGUUGGUGGGGUAAAGGCCUACCAAGGCGACGAUCAGUAGCGGGUCUUAGAGGACGAUCCGCCACACUGGAACUGAGACACGGUCCAGACUCCUACGGGCGGCAGCAGUGGGGAAUCUUGGACAAUGGGCGAAAGCCUGAUCCAGCAAUGCCGCGUGCGUGAAGAAGGCCUUCGGGUUGUAAAGCGCUUUUGUCUGGGAGCAAAUCCUUGUGGCUAAUACCCACCGGGGAUGAGAGUACCAGAAGAAUAAGGACCGGCUAACUACGCGCCAGCCGCCGCGGUAAAAC
rnacentral:rRNA from 1 species